rnacentral:rRNA from 1 species
GGGGGAAUAUUGCACAAUGGGCGCAAGCCUGAUGCAGCCAUGCCGCGUGUAUGAAGAAGGCCUUCGGGUUGUAAAGUACUUUCAGCGGGGAGGAAGGCGAUAAGGUUAAUAACCUUGUCGAUUGACGUUACCCGCAGAAGAAGCACCGGCUAACUCCGUGCCAGCAGCCGCGGUAAUACGGAGGGUGCAAGCGUUAAUCGGAAUUACUGGGCGUAAAGCGCACGCAGGCGGUCUGUCAAGUCGGAUGUGAAAUCCCCGGGCUCAACCUGGGAACUGCAUUCGAAACUGGCAGGCUAGAGUCUUGUAGAGGGGGGUAGAAUUCCAGGUGUAGCGGUGAAAUGCGUAGAGAUCUGGAGGAAUACCGGUGGCGAAGGCGGCCCCCUGGACAAAGACUGACGCUCAGGUGCGAAAGCGUGGGGAGCAAACA